ACUCCUCUCUGUUUUUCCAAAACAAACUCAUCGAUCUGCCCUAGUCUCAAAACACAAUAGCGCGCAGCUCCUCUGCCUCUAUCAAUCUCUCAAAAAAUUUGUUUUCUCAAAGCAAAGGUUACGAAUUUGUUGAUUUGUGAAUCGAAGUCCUGCCCUAGUUUUCAAACACCGUUUGCGAAUCCAGGUUAUGGCACCUAGUAAGCAAUGGAUGUAACUUGUUGACAAUCGGCUUGAUGAAGCCUACUUAAUCGUGUAAUGAUAUUAAACAAUAUAUGUCCUUUGGGAGUAUCAUCGUGGAAUGAUAUUAAGCAAGAAAAGUUGAAUCACAUGUGGGCAGCUAUUGAGCCUUGUUGAUAUUGCUGGAAAACACAUGAUGAAUUUUGACUCCUUUUGGGGUUUUGAAGAUUGAAGCUACAAGUCAAGAUGCAAGUUUGGAAGAUACACAAACUCAUUAUUAUUUUGCUAAGAAUGUUUUGUAAAACUUGAUAUCAUAGUCUGGCUCAGGAUGUUAGUUAAGUUUUUUGUUAAGGUGUCGAGCAAAUAUUAAAACUAAUAU